rnacentral:rRNA from 1 species
AGUGAACGCUGGCGGUAGGCCUAACACAUGCAAGUCGAACGGCAGCACAGUAAGAGCUUGCUCUUACGGGUGGCGAGUGGCGGACGGGUGAGGAAUACAUCGGAAUCUACUUUUUCGUGGGGGAUAACGUAGGGAAACUUACGCUAAUACCGCAUACGACCUACGGGUGAAAGCAGGGGAUCUUCGGACCUUGCGCGAUUGAAUGAGCCGAUGUCGGAUUAGCUAGUUGGCGGGGUAAAGGCCCACCAAGGCGACGAUCCGUAGCUGGUCUGAGAGGAUGAUCCGCUAGACUGGAACUGAGACACGGUCCAGACUCCUACGGGAGGCAGCAGUGGGGAAUAUUGGACAAUGGGCGCAAGCCUGAUCCAGCCAUACCGCGUGGGUGAAGAAGGCCUUCGGGUUGUAAAGCCCUUUUGUUGGGAAAGAAAAGCAGCAGGUUAAUACCCCGCUGUUCUGACGGUACCCAAAGAAUAAGCACCGGCUAACUUCGUG